CUGCAUGGGGCGGUUCAUUCCCAGUAUCUAUUCAAUAGAAUUGUGCUAUUGACUGUUCUUUGUGCAAAUACAGAAAAUGAGAUGGAGGAAACUUGCAAACUUUAGAGCUGUUAAAAAAAAGCUUCUGGUACAGUUCAAACCUUUGCUUGACAGGCUCUUGGCGUCCCUCUGUUUCCUGUACCUAUGGUAGGGGGUGUUUUUACCCGCAGAAAAAACGACUUGUUAAUGCAUUCACAUUCCAUGCACUGUUCUUUCAGUAACUGACAGGAAACAAUGAAGAAGAGAAUAGCUCUAACAAUUCUAUGCUGUUCCAUGCUCUGGGAGGCUUUUGGAGCGGGUCAAAAUGAGAUUCUAGUGAAACCAGGGGACACAGUCACCCUUGGCUGUGACAUUACCCUGGAGUACGAGGUCAUGUGGUUUGUUCUUCGUCCUGACGCCACUCUUUCAGUGGCCAUCACUAGAAAGACGAAUAUACCCCUGAGCCUCAAAAGGUUUGAUGGCCGUCUCGAGUCAGUUUAUGACACAGCCCUGUUCAGAAGCAAUCUGAGCAUCCUGAACAUCUCAGAGAGCGACGUGGGUCUGUACUAUUGUGCUGAGCAGAGGGCUAACAUAUUUGAGAUCGGAAGUGGGACCAAGCUCUCCCUUAUCAGUGGUGAUCAGCUCUCUACUACGGUUGUUGGGAUGAAGUUGUCAUGGUUUAUCACCUUGAUCAUAGCCCCCAUGUUGUCUGUGCUGGGGUCUGCUUUCUGCGUCUUCUGCCUGUUGACGACCUGAUCCUACCAAAUGAGGAUUCUGGAAGAACUUGGUUGAAGCCUGCCAUCUAGUGGACCAACACACAGAGAACAGGAAAGCGCUUAACCCGUUUGUUGUCGUAAGGGUCAAAAAUGUUUAACUAUGUUUAACAGCAGAGAAAACCCCCUAAAUGAUAUUUUUUCAACUUGAAAUUGUAUGACUUUUCCUAGAGUGACCCCAACAUUAAUAAAAGUGAAACAUCGCC